GACGAACGCUGUCGGCGUGCUUAACACAUGCAAGUCGAACGGAAAGGCCCUGCUUUUGUGGGGUGCUCGAGUGGCGAACGGGUGAGUAACACGUGAGUAACCUGCCCUUGACUUUGGGAUAACUUCAGGAAACUGGGGCUAAUACCGGAUAGGAGCUCCUGCUGCAUGGUGGGGGUUGGAAAGUUUCGGCGGUUGGGGAUGGACUCGCGGCUUAUCAGCUUGUUGGUGGGGUAGUGGCUUACCAAGGCUUUGACGGGUAGCCGGCCUGAGAGGGUGACCGGCCACAUUGGGACUGAGAUACGGCCCAGACUCCUACGGGAGGCAGCAGUGGGGAAUAUUGCACAAUGGGCGGAAGCCUGAUGCAGCAACGCCGCGUGCGGGAUGACGGCCUUCGGGUUGUAAACCGCUUUCGCCUGUGACGAAGCGUGAGUGACGGUAAUGGGUAAAGAAGCACCGGCUAACUACGUGCCAGCAGCCGCGGUGAUACGUAGGGUGCGAGCGUUGUCCGGAUUUAUUGGGCGUAAAGGGCUCGUAGGUGGUUGAUCGCGUCGGAAGUGUAAUCUUGGGGCUUAACCCUGAGCGUGCUUUCGAUACGGGUUGACUUGAGGAAGGUAGGGGGGAAUGGAAUUCCUGGUGGAGCGGUGGAAUGCGCAGAUAUCAGGAGGAACACCAGUGGCGAAGGCGGUUCUCUGGGCCUUUCCUGACGCUGAGGAGCGAAAGCGUGGGGAGCGAACAGGCUUAGAUACCCUGGUAGUCCACGCUGUAAACGGUGGGUACUAGGUGUGGGGUCCAUUCCACGGGUUCCGUGCCGUAGCUAACGCUUUAAGUACCCCGCCUGGGGAGUACGGCCGCAAGGCUAAAACUCAAAGGAAUUGACGGGGCCCCGCACAAGCGGCGGAGCAUGCGGAUUAAUUCGAUGCAACGCGUAGAACCUUACCUGGGUUUGACAUGGAUCGGGAGUGCUCAGAGAUGGGUGUGCCUCUUUUGGGGUCGGUUCACAGGUGGUGCAUGGCUGUCGUCAGCUCGUGUCGUGAGAUGUUGGGUUAAGUCCCGCAACGAGCGCAACCCUUGUUCACUGUUGCCAGCACGUUAUGGUGGGGACUCAGUGGAGACCGCCGGGGUCAACUCGGAGGAAGGUGGGGAUGACGUCAAGUCAUCAUGCCCCUUAUGUCCAGGGCUUCACGCAUGCUACAAUGGCUGGUACAGAGAGUGGCGAGCCUGUGAGGGUGAGCGAAUCUCGGAAAGCCGGUCUCAGUUCGGAUUGGGGUCUGCAACUCGACCUCAUGAAGUCGGAGUCGCUAGUAAUCGCAGAUCAGCAACGCUGCGGUGAAUACGUUCCCGGG
rnacentral:rRNA from 1 species